AGAGUUUGAUCCUGGCUCAGGAUGAACGCUAGCGGCAGGCCUAAUACAUGCAAGUCGAACGAUACUUUCCAGCUUGCUGGGGAGGAAAGUGGCGCACGGGUGCGUAACGCGUAUGCAACCUACCUUAAUCAGGGGGAUAGCCCGAAGAAAUUCGGAUUAACACCGCAUAAAAACACAGGGUAGCAUUACCUAAUGUUCAAAUAUUUAUAGGAUUAAGAUGGGCAUGCGUGUCAUUAGCUAGUUGGCGGGGUAACGGCCCACCAAGGCGACGAUGACUAGGGGAUCUGAGAGGAUGACCCCCCACACUGGUACUGAGACACGGACCAGACUCCUACGGGAGGCAGCAGUAAGGAAUAUUGGUCAAUGGAGGGAACUCUGAACCAGCCAUGCCGCGUGCAGGAAGACGGCCCUCUGGGUUGUAAACUGCUUUUAUUCGGGAAUAAACCUAUUUACGUGUAAAUAGCUGAAUGUACCGAAGGAAUAAGGAUCGGCUAACUCCGUGCCAGCAGCCGCGGUAAUACGGAGGAUCCAAGCGUUAUCCGGAUUUAUUGGGUUUAAAGGGUGCGUAGGCGGCUUAUUAAGUCAGGGGUGAAAGACGGUGGCUCAACCAUCGCAGUGCCCUUGAUACUGAUGAGCUUGAAUGGACUAGAGGUAGGCGGAAUGUGACAAGUAGCGGUGAAAUGCAUAGAUAUGUCACAGAACACCGAUUGCGAAGGCAGCUUACUAUGGUUUAAUUGACGCUGAGGCACGAAAGCGUGGGGAUCAAACAGGAUUAGAUACCCUGGUAGUCCACGCC
rnacentral:rRNA from 1 species